GAUGAAGAACGUAGCGAAAUGCGAUAAGUAAUGUGAAUUGCAGAAUUCAGUGAAUCAUCGAAUCUUUGAACGCACAUUGCGCCCGCCAGUAUUCUGGCGGGCAUGCCUGUUCGAGCGUCAUUUCAACCAUCAAGCCCCCGGCUUGUGUUGGGGACCUGCGGCUGCCGCAGGCCCUGAAAUUCAGUGGCGGGCUCGCUGUCACUCCGAGCGUAGUAGUUACAUCUCGCUCUGGGCGUGCUGCGGGUUCCGGCCGUUAAAAGCCUUAUUUACCCAAGGUUGACCUCGGAUCAGGUAGGAAGACCCGCUGAACUUAAGCAUAUCAAUAAGCGGAGGA
rnacentral:misc_RNA from 1 species